ACGCUCGACACCUACGGGAGGCAGCAGGUGGGGAAUAUUGCACAAUGGGGGAAACCCUGAUGCAGCGACGCCGCGUGAAGGAAGAAGUAUCUCGGUAUGUAAACUUCUAUCAGCAGGGAAGAAAGUGACGGUACCUGACUAAGAAGCCCCGGCUAACUACGUGUCAGCAGCCGCGGUAA
rnacentral:rRNA from 1 species